CUGUUUAAUAGUCUCCGAGCUAUUCCACCUAAGGGAACAGUCCUAUGGUGGCUAGCCUGGGCUGAAGCCCACGGGGUACACCAAGUGCUUACCAGCACGGCGGAAACGGGUGUGCCUCCACGUUUUGGGAAGGAGAUGUGCCUUGCCGUGA
rnacentral:ncRNA from 2 species